rnacentral:rRNA from 1 species
UGGGGAAUUUGGACAAUGGGCGAAAGCCUGAUCCAGCAAUGCCGCGUGUGUGAAGAAGGCCUUCGGGUUGUAAAGCACUUUUGUCCGGAAAGAAAUCCUUGGCUCUAAUACAGUCGGGGGAUGACGGUACCGGAAGAAUAAGCACCGGCUAACUACGUGCCAGCAGCCGCGGUAAUACGUAGGGUGCAAGCGUUAAUCGGAAUUACUGGGCGUAAAGCGUGCGCAGGCGGUUUGCUAAGACCGAUGUGAAAUCCCCGGGCUCAACCUGGGAACUGCAUUGGUGACUGGCAGGCUAGAGUAUGGCAGAGGGGGGUAGAAUUCCACGUGUAGCAGUGAAAUGCGUAGAGAUGUGGAGGAAUACCGAUGGCGAAGGCAGCCCCCUGGGCAAUACUGACGCUCAUGCACGAAAGCGUGGGGAGCAAACAGGAUUAGAUACCCUGGUAGUCCACGCCCUAAACGAUGUCAACUAGUUGUUGGGGAUUCAUUUCCUUAGUAACGUAGCUAACGCGUGAAGUUGACCGCCUGGGGAGUGAGGUCGCAAGAUUAAAACUUAAAUGAAUUGACGGGGUCAAGCUGUUUCC